GAGUGAACACAGCUCUUCUAGAAUUUUUUUUCUAGCAGCUUAUCUGACUUUGGUCAGAAAACCCAU
rnacentral:snRNA from 1 species